UACGUGAGGUGACAAGCGUUGUCCGGAUUACUGGGCGUAAAGAGCGCGCAGGCGGUCGUUCAAGUCGAGUCGUGAAAGCCCCCGGCUCAACUGGGGAGGGUCAUUCGAUACUGAUCGACUUCGAAGGCAGGAGAGGGGAAGUGGAAUUCCCGGUGUAGUGGUGAAAUGCGUAGAUAUCGGGAGGAACACCAGUGGCGAAGGCGACUUCCUGGCCUGUUCUUGACGCUGAGGCGCGAAAGCUAGGGUAGCAAACGGGG
rnacentral:rRNA from 1 species